rnacentral:tRNA from 1 species
GCCCCCGUAGCUCAGUGGACAGAGCACCGGACUUCUAAUCCGACGGCCGUUGGUUCGAAUCCAACCGGGGGCG